UGAAAAUCGGCAGUGGGUUCCUGAGU
rnacentral:piRNA from 2 species